UCAGGCCGCUGGGAGGCAGUCAUGGCUGCUGCUUCUCAGCUCUGUCAUCAAGAGGCCGCGGGAGGUGUCAGUGUGGUGCUGGGCAGAUGGUAACGAGAGAGUGGGAGCAGCUUGUCCAGAGGCAGCCUGGAGGCUGAUCCUCUCUUCGCCGGUCACUGUUCACUGCAGAGUUGCGGUAGCAGCCACUUGGAGUACUUCCGGCAGCCUCCCCAGGUGCCGGGGAGUAGCAGUAUUUCCUGACCUGAGGACUUGGCCCGCCCAAGGGCGGGCACCCGAAGACGCAGAGAGUUUGGAGAAGCAUGAAGACUAUUGAUAUCUCCACUUCCUCUCCACCCCACAACCUCUGACAGCUAGCCUGUCUCAGGGACCUCACCCCGUCAUCUCCCCAACCCCAGUGAACAUUCUACAGGGCUGCUGUAACUCUCCUCCGGAAGCAUCUCCUCUCCAAUUGUGAGGAUGACCUGCCUAAAAUUCUCCUCGGUAGAGGAAUUCCACAGCCAAGCCACCCGGAAGGCCCUCUGCAGGGACCUGCAGCAGACAGCAAGAAACCAUGCAACAGGACUAGCAGCUACUCUUUUGUUUUAUGCAUCAUCUACUAUUAAUUUUAUUAUUAUUUUGUGUGUGCGUGUGUGUGUCCAUGUACAUACCUAUGUGUGUGGAGGUCCGAGGACAUCUUUUGGUUUUCUCUUUCCACGGCAGGUUCUGGGAAUUGAACUUCAGGCAUUAGGGUUUGUACGACCAGCUGCAACGUUCCCACCCUUUCAUAUUUGCCUUUGGAUUUGUUUUUUAAAUGGUAGUAAAAUGUAUACUUUGCUACUUUG